rnacentral:rRNA from 1 species
UGCAAGUCGAACGGCAGCACGGAGCUUGCUCUGGUGGCGAGUGGCGAACGGKURAGUAAUAUAUCGGAACGUACCCUGGAGUGGGGGAUAACGUAGCGAAAGUUACGCUAAUACCGCAUACGAUCUAAGGAUGAAAGUGGGGGAUUCGCAAGAACCUCAUGCUCCUGGAGCGGCCGAUAUCUGAUUAGCUAGUUGGUAGGGUAAAAGCCUACCAAGGCAUCGAUCAGUAGCUGGUCUGAGAGGACGACCAGCCACACUGGAACUGAGACACGGUCCAGACUCCUACGGGAGGCAGCAGUGGGGAAUUUUGGACAAUGGGGGCAACCCUGAUCCAGCAAUGCCGCGUGAGUGAAGAAGGCCUUCGGGUUGUAAAGCUCUUUUGUCAGGGAAGAAACGGUGUGAGCUAAUAUCUCAUGCUAAUGACGGUACCUGAAGAAUAAGCACCGGCUAACUACGUGCCAGCAGCCGCGGUAAUACGUAGGGUGCAAGCGUUAAUCGGAAUUACUGGGCGUAAAGCGUGCGCAGGCGGUUUUGUAAGACUGUCGUGAAAUCCCCGGGCUCAACCUGGGAAUGGCGAUGGUGACUGCAAGGCUAGAGUUUGGCAGAGGGGGGUAGAAUUCCACGUGUAGCAGUGAAAUGCGUAGAUAUGUGGAGGAACACCGAUGGCGAAGGCAGCCCCCUGGGUCAAAACUGACGCUCAUGCACGAGAGCGUGGGGAGCAAACAGGAUUAGAUACCCUGGUAGUCCACGCCCUAAACGAUGUCUACUAGUUGUCGGGUUUUAAUUAACUUGGUAACGCAGCUAACGCGUGAAGUAGACCGCCUGGGGAGUACGGUCGCAAGAUUAAAACUCAAAGGAAUUGACGGGGACCCGCACAAGCGGUGGAUGAUGUGGAUUAAUUCGAUGCAACGCGAAAAAY